GACGAACGCUGGCGGCGCGCUUAACACAUGCAAGUCGAACGGAAAGGCCUGCUUUCCCUUGUGGAUUGCGGGUACUCGAGUGGCGAACGGGUGAGUAACACGUGAGUGAUCUGCCCCCAACUUGGGUAUAAGCCUGGGAAACUGGGUCUAAUUCCCGAUAGGACUGCAGGGUGGUGCCUGUGGUGGAAAACGAUUUUCUAGUGGUUGGGGAUGAGCUCGCGGCCUAUCAGCUUGUUGGUGGGGUAAUGGCCUACCAAGGCGGCGACGGGUAGCCGGCCUGGGAGGGUGGACGGAGACAUUGGGACUGAGAUACGGCCCAGAAUCCUACGGGAGGCAGCAGUGGGGAAUACUGAACAAUGGGCGGAAGCCUGAUGCAGCGACGCCGCGUGGGGGAUGACGGCCUUCGGGUUGUAAGCUCCUUUCGACCGCGAGGACGCCACCUGGUUGGAAGGGUGGUGACGGUAGUGGUAGAAGAAGCACCGGCUAACUACGUG
rnacentral:rRNA from 1 species